GUUUUUAGAGUAUUUAAGGGGUAUUUUCGGGUUUUUAUGAUUUUUAAGGGGUAUUUUUGGGUUUUUAUGAUUUUUAAGGGGUAUUUUUGGGGUUUUAGGAUUUUUAAGGUGAAUAUUUGGAGUUUUAGGGUGUUUUUUUAACUUUGGGUUUUUAGGGCUUGUUAAGGGUAUUUUCAAAUUUUUAGGGUAUUUAAGGGGUAUUUUCGGGUUUUUAGGGGAUUUUUGGGUUUUUAAAGGAUAUGUUUUUGUUUUUAGGGUUUUAAGGGAUACUUUUGGGUAUUUUUGGUUUUUUUAACAAAAAAAUAUCCCUUAGAAUCCCUAAAAACCCGAAAAUACCCCUUAAAUACUCUAAAAACCCAAAAAUACUCCUUAAAAACCCAAAAAUACCACUAAAAAUCACUAAAAACCCUCAAAACACUUAUAAACCCCUAAAAAUCACUAAAACCCCAUCGAAAUACUUAAAGACCCCUUAAAAAUCAUUAUAAACCCCUAAAAACCACUAAAAACCCUUCAAAACACUUAUAAACCCCUAAAAACCCACUAUAAACCCUUCAAAAAUGACUAUAAACCCUUCAAAACCACUACAAAACCUCUCAAAACACGUAUAAACCCCUUAAAAACCACUAUAAACCCCUAAAAACCACUAAAACCCCCUCAAAACACCUAUAAACCCCUUAAAAGUGUGUAUGGGCGAAUAUGUGUGUGUGUUUGUGUUUGUGGAUGUGUGUGUAUGUGUUUGUCUGUGAGUGUGUGUGGAUGCAUGCGUGUAUCUGUUCUUGUGUUUAUGUCUGUGUGUGUGUGUUUGUGUGGGUAAUAUGUGUGUGUAGGUGUGUCUGUGUUUGGGUUUAUACAAUUACGUGUGUUUGUGUAUGUGUUUUUGUGUGUGUGUGUGUGAGAGUCUGUGUGUGUGCGUGUUUGUGUAUGUAUGAGUGUCUGUGUGUGUGUGUGUUUAUGUGAUUGUGUGUGUCAUGUGUGUGCGUGCGUGUGUGUUUAUGUAUUUAUGUUGGUGGUAUGUGUGAGGGUAUAAGUUUGUAUGUGUUUGGGUGUGUCCGUGUGUGUAAUAUAUGUGUUUGUGUAGGUGUGUGUGUGUGUGUGUGUCUGAAUGUGUGUUUGCAUGUUUGUGUGAGAGUGUGUAUGUGUGUGUUUGUUUGGUAAUAUGUGUGUGUGAGAGUCUGUCUGUGUCUGUUUUUGUAUAAUUACGUGUGUUUGUCUAUGUGUUUGUGUGUGUGUGUUUGUAGUGUAAUAUGUGUGUUUAUGUAUGUAAUAUAUGUGUUAAGGUGUAUGUGUGCGUGUAUUUAUGUGCUUAUGUGUGUNUGAAUGGGGGGUUUAUGUAUGUGUAUGUUUUUUUGUGUUUGUUUGAGUGUGUGUGUGUUUGUUUGUGUCUUUAAGAGUGUUUGUGUGUAUGUGUCUUUGUGUGCGUAAUAUGUGUGAGUGGGUGGGUGUGAGUGUGUAUAUGUUUAUACGGUUGUGCGUGUGUGUCUGUUUAUGUGUUUAAUACACGUGUUUGUCAAAAUGUUUGUGUGUUUUUGUGUUUGUGUGUGUCCAUGUGUGUGUGUGUCAGUUUGUGUGUGUUUGUGUGCAUGCGUGUGUGUUUGUUUGGGCGUGAGUUAGUGUGUGCAUUUUUAUUUGUGUUUGUUUUUGUAUUUGUAUGUGUGAGUGUGUGUGUGUGAUUGUAUGUUUUAGUGUUUGAGAGAGACAAAACGAGAAAAAGAGAGAGUGUGUGUGUCUAUGUGUUUGUGUAUGUGAUGUGUGUAUUUGUGUUUGCGUAUGUUUAUGUGGGUAAUAUGUGUGUAGGUGAAUGGAAGUGUAAGUAUAAGUUUGUGUAUGUGUGUGUAAUAUAUGUGUUUGUAUGGGCCG
rnacentral:lncRNA from 1 species